rnacentral:miRNA from 12 species
ACCCUAACUUGGGGCAUUUAUU